rnacentral:rRNA from 1 species
UACCAGCACCCCGAGUUGUCGGGACGAUUAUUGGGCCUAAAGCAUCCGUAGCCUGUUCUGCAAGUCCUCCGUUAAAUCCACCCGCUUAACGGAUGGGCUGCGGGGGAUACUGCAGAGCUAGGAGGCGGGAGAGGCAAACGGUACUCAGUGGGUAGGGGUAAAAUCCUUUGAUCCAUUGAAGACCACCAGUGGCGAAGGCGGCUUGCCAGAACGCGCUCGACGGUGAGGGAUGAAAGCUGGGGGAGCAAACCGG